rnacentral:lncRNA from 1 species
GGCAAUACUCAGGCUAGGAGCCGCUGCACUAGGUGCUAGGGACCCACUGAAUUUUCACCAGAGCAGUGGCUUGGUCAGAUCUCUAUUUCCAGAAACAUCGCCCUGGAAUCCUUUCCUUGGCGUGGAAGGAGAAGUUGACCCCGAAGAGUUACUCAGUCAAGGGCGACUCAUUGCUCCACUCUAAGGUUUCUCUAAGCACAGGGCGGUGGCGAAAGGGAAGGGCUGCAGGGUGGAGUCCGGCACCAAGACCUCCCGGCCCGGCUUCUAGCAGCACACGGACGCUUGAGAUGAUUUCUUCUGAAAACGGGCAGUGGUUGAAAACCACUGCUUCAAAACACAGACUGGAGGAGUGGUAAAUACUAACGAGGAGUUUUAGCAAUGGACUCUGUUAACAGAGUCUGGUCGCCUGAGAAGGGCCUCGGAGGACUGGCCAGGUUGGAGAACGAUUUCAACUGCGUACUGGACGACACACAGAAGACUGCGGGGAGCCUUAGCCCCUACCCGGCCUGCAGUGCUCUCUGGGGCACACGGCAGCCCCACGACGCCUUUGGGUUUCUUCGAGCGCUACUCGCACGCACCAGCGCCCACACAGCUGCAACGCCAAACGCCCGCCAGCACCUUAGGGCCGCGGGAGUCCCUUCCCCAGGCCCGCCCCACACGCCGGCCUUUUCUGCCGCUUCCCAAGCCGGAGCCAAUCAGCGCUCAGCAGCGACCGGCAGGGACGACCAAUCGACUUAUCCUGCGUUGUGCUAAAGACCUAGAAAUCGAGCGUGGUACAUUCGAUCGACGGAACGUCUGGGCCCUAGUGCUAAGUUGGGUGACUGUUCGGUGGUUGUCUCGGGGGGUUGCAGGAAGAUCCUGUUUCCUUGGCGUAGAAGGAGAGGUUGACCCCGAAGAGUUAAGAUUCUCGAAGCACACUAUUUAUCCGUGGCCCUCCUCCUCCUUCGCGGGGUAGCUUGGGGCAAGUCAUCUAUUCUCUCUAGAUCUGUGUUCUGCCUAAAAAUUAAUGAAUGGGACAAAAUGGUCUCUACAGUCCCUUGUUUAUCCUGGCCCUGCAAAUCCAGGAUCGCUGCCGUUGUAUCUCAGUCUGAUGUCGGUGGUCUUGCGCUGGCCGGUGUUCUGAAACUUUGUCGGCAGUAACAUGCACUCCAGUCAGUCUCUUCAGUCCAGGACACCAUCGCCGGGGAAACUGAGGCAUAAGAAAAAUAAAAAUGAGCAUUGUCCAUCCACAAA